UGAGGAACAUGACCUUCGGCGGGGGAUAGCCGGCCCAACGGCCGGGUAAUACCGCGUACGACCACAUGGGGACAUCCCCAAGUGGUGAGAGCAGCAAUGCGCCGAUGGAGUGCCUCGCGGCCUAUCAGCUAGUUGGUGAGGUAACGGCUCACCAAGGCGACGACGGGUAGCUGGUCUGAGAGGAUGGCCAGCCACAUUGGGACUGAGACACGGCCCAGACCUNUACCGGGAG
rnacentral:rRNA from 1 species